GCGCAACCCUUGUCCUUAGUUACCUAGCAACGUUAUGGUGGGCGACUCUAAGGAGACUGCCGGUGGACAAACCGGAGGAAGGUGGGGAUGACGUCAAGUCAUCAUGGCCCUUACGGCCUGGGCUACACACGUGCUACAAUGGUCGGUACAAAGGGUUGCCAAGCCGCGAGGUGGAGCUAAUCCCAUAAAACCGAUCGUAGUCCGGAUCGCAGUCUGCAACUCGACUGCGUGAAGUCGGAAUCGCUAGUAAUCGUGAAUCAGAAUGUCACGGCGAAUACGUUCCCGGGCCUU
rnacentral:rRNA from 1 species